rnacentral:lncRNA from 1 species
AGCAGCAGCCUUUUCCCCCUCUUCCCUGUUGGAUCACUGCCCUGUUUCCUCCAGGGCUGAAGGCCUGAGUGUGUUUUGGAGGAAUGGUGCUGGUUCUGGGUCUCUCGAGGGUCUGACUGGAAUCAGCAAAGAAAUAAAAAGGGGUUGGAUUUCCCAGGGCCUGCAGGCUUUGUCUGGAGGGAGACAGGUUGUAGGGAGACAGACAGCAGGAUGCUCCUGUCUCCUUCAUGUGAUACCAGCUUCUCAGGCACAGCUUUCUUGUGCCAAGACCAUCUGGGUCUGCAGCAGAGAAGGGCAGGAAGUCAGGCACUUACCCCUGCCCACCCCAUCUCCUCAGGCACCUUGUUUAUGGCAUUCCAGUGAAUCCUUUGUGGUAAAUGAGGCUGUGAAGAGGAUUUUUGUAGAUUAA